rnacentral:lncRNA from 1 species
CGGCACCCCCUGGACUAUUUAUAGCUGUGUCGCUUUGAGUCUGGCCUCUGCCACCCCUGCCGCAAUGUACCCGCCUGCCUGUUGACGUCUGGCUGGAGCAAGAGGCUCCUUCCUCUUUUGCUUCCGAACGCAGCACGUUGGCUGCCCUCGCUGUUCGGGAGAUCACUACCAGGAUCACUCCAGGGGCAACACCAGAGCCCCGGAGCCAGAAAGGUACCAAAAAGCAACAACAAGGACAAUGACGAGGACGACAAACACACACACAAAAACCAAAGCCAAGGCAGCAUGGUGGUGCACGCCUAUGAUCCCAGCGUUCCCAGGCUGAGGCAGGAGGGUGACUGCGAGUUCAAGGCUGCCUGGAAUACAGAGUGAGACCCUGUCUCAAAAACAAACAGAAUGGGCCGGUACCUUUCUGGGUUGUGGGCUACCUUCUUCCAUGGUUUCCACCGCACCCCC